rnacentral:rRNA from 1 species
GACGAACGCUGGCGGCGCGCCUAACACAUGCAAGUCGAACGAGAAUCAGCUGAUGAAGUUUUCGAAUGGAUUCGGCUGAGGAAAGUGGCGAACGGGCGAGUAACGCGUGAGCAACCUACCUUGUACUGGGGGAUAACGUCGGGAAACCGGCGCUAAUACCGCAUAACAUUACGAUAGCGCAUGUUAUUGUAAUCAAAGCUUUAGUGGUACGAGACGGGCUCGCGUCCAAUUAGCUAGUUGGUGAGGUAAAGGCUCACCAAGGCGACGAUUGGUAGCCGAACUGAGAGGUUGAUCGGCCGCAUUGGGACUGAGACACGGCCCAGACUCCUACGGGAGGCAGCAGUGGGGAAUAUUGCGCAAUGGGGGAAACCCUGACGCAGCGACGCCGCGUGAAGGAAGAAGGCCUUCGGGUUGUAAACUUCUUUGAUCGGGGACGAAAAUGACGGUACCCGAGGAACAAGCCACGGCUAACUACGUGCCAGCAGCCGCGGUAAUACGUAGGUGGCAAGCGUUGUCCGGAAUUACUGGGCGUAAGGGGCGUGUAGGCGGGGGGACAAGUCAGAUGUGAAAUACCGCGGCUUAACUGCGGGGGUGCAUCUGAAACUGUUCUUCUUGAGUGUCGGAGAGGACAGUGGAAUUCCCAGUGUAGCGGUGAAAUGCGUAGAGAUUGGGAGGAACACCAGUGGCGAAGGCGGCUUUCUGGACGAUAACUGACGCUGAGGCGCGAAAGCGUGGGGAGCACACAGG